UGGGGAAUUUUGGACAAUGGGGGAAACCCUGAUCCAGCCAUCCCGCGUGUGCGAUGAAGGCCUUCGGGUUGUAAAGCACUUUUGGCAGGAAAGAAACGUCAUGGGUUAAUACCCCGUGAAACUGACGGUACCUGCAGAAUAAGCACCGGCUAACUACGUGCCAGCAGCCGCGGUAAUACGUAGGGUGCAAGCGUUAAUCGGAAUUACUGGGCGUAAAGCGUGCGCAGGCGGUUCGGAAAGAAAGAUGUGAAAUCCCAGAGCUCAACUUUGGAACUGCAUUUUUAACUACCGGGCUAGAGUGUGUCAGAGGGAGGUGGAAUUCCGCGUGUAGCAGUGAAAUGCGUAGAUAUGCGGAGGAACACCGAUGGCGAAGGCAGCCUCCUGGGAUAACACUGACGCUCAUGCACGAAAGCGUGGGAGCAAACAGG
rnacentral:rRNA from 1 species